GGCUACAUAGCUCAGUUGGUUAGAGCACAGCAUUCAUAAUGCUGGUGUCCCAGGUUCAAGUCCCGGUGUAGCCACCA
rnacentral:tRNA from 10 species